AUGACUUUUAUCACCAUCUUCAUCUGGAUAUUUGCCCUCUGUCUCCAAGAGUCCAGAGGCCAGGUCACAGUGACCCAGACUCCUGCAGUGAAAGCUGUUUCAGUGGGUCACUCAGUCAGUCUCAGCUGUAAGACCAGCAGUGCUGUACGCAGUAACAGCAAUGGACACUAUUUACACUGGUAUCAACAGAAACCUGGAGGAGCUCCUAAACUCCUAAUAUACUGGGCUAAAACCCUUCAGUCUGGGACUCCAUCUAGAUUCAGUGGCAGUGGAUCUGGGAGUGACUUCACUCUGACCAUCAGUGGAGUCCAGGCUGAAGAUGCAGGAGAUUACUACUGUCAGAGUUACCACUACAUCAAUAGUAAAGAUGUGUUCACACAGUGA